GACUGGGAUAACUUCGGGAAACCGGAGCUAAUACCGGAUAAUAUUUCGAACCGCAUGGUUCGAUAGUGAAAGAUGGCUUUGCUAUCACUUAUAGAUGGACCUGCGCCGUAUUAGCUAGUUGGUAAGGUAACGGCUUACCAAGGCAACGAUACGUAGCCGACCUGAGAGGGUGAUCGGCCACACUGGAACUGAGACACGGUCCAGACUCCUACGGGAGGCAGCAGUAGGGAAUCUUCCGCAAUGGGCGAAAGCCUGACGGAGCAACGCCGCGUGAGUGAUGAAGGUCUUCGGAUCGUAAAACUCUGUUAUUAGGGAAGAACAAACGUGUAAGUAACUGUGCACGUCUUGACGGUACCUAAUCAGAAAGCCACGGCUAACUACGUGCCAGCAGCCGCGGUAAUACGUAGGUGGCAAGCGUUAUCCGGAAUUAUUGGGCGUAAAGCGCGCGUAGGCGGUUUUUUAAGUCUGAUGUGAAAGCCCACGGCUCAACCGUGGAGGGUCAUUGGAAACUGGAAAACUUGAGUGCAGAAGAGGAAAGUGGAAUUCCAUGUGUAGCGGUGAAAUGCGCAGAGAUAUGGAGGAACACCAGUGGCGAAGGCGACUUUCUGGUCUGUAACUGACGCUGAUGUGCGAAAGCGUGGGGAUCAAACAGGAUUAGAUACCCUGGUAGUCCACGCCGUAAACGAUGAGUGCUAAGUGUUAGGGGGGUUUCCGCCCCCUUAGUGCUGCAGCUAACGCAUUAAGCACUCCGCCCGGGGGAGUACGACCGCAAGGUUGAAAACUCAAAGGGAAUUGACGGGGGACCCGCACAAGCGGGG
rnacentral:rRNA from 1 species